UACGUAGGGUGCAAGCGUUGUCCGGAAUUAUUGGGCGUAAAGAGCUCGUAGGCGGUCUGUCGCGUCUGCUGUGAAAACCUAGGGCUUAACUCUGGGCGUGCAGUGGGUACGGGCAGGCUAGAGUGCGGUAGGGGAGACUGGAAUUCCUGGUGUAGCGGUGAAAUGCGCAGAUAUCAGGAGGAACACCAGCGGCGAAGGCGGCGCUCUGGGCCGGUACUGACGCUGAGGAGCGAAAGCGUGGGGAGCAAACAGG
rnacentral:rRNA from 1 species